AAUAGAUACCCGGGUAGUCCACGCCGUAAACGAUGAGUGCUAGGUGUUAGGGGGUUUCCGCCCCUUAGUGCUGCAGCUAACGCAUUAAGCACUCCGCCUGGGGAGUACGGUCGCAAGACUGAAACUCAAAGGAAUUGACGGGGGCCCGCACAAGCGGUGGAGCAUGUGGUUUAAUUCGAAGCAACGCGAAGAACCUUACCAGGUCUUGACAUCCCGCUGACCGCCAUGGAGACAUGGCUUUCCCUUCGGGGACAGCGGUGACAGGUGGUGCAUGGUUGUCGUCAGCUCGUGUCGUGAGAUGUUGGGUUAAGUCCCGCAACGAGCGCAACCCUUGUCCUUAGUUGCCAUCAUUCAGUUGGGCACUCUAAGGAGACUGCCGUACAAAUACGGAGGAAGGUGGGGAUGACGUCAAAUCAUCAUGCCCCUUAUGACCUGGGCUACACACGUGCUACAAUGGGUGGUACAAAGGGGCAGCAAACCCCGCGAGGGGGAGCGAAUCCCGAAAAAGCCACUCUCAGUUCGGAUUGCAGGCUGCAACC
rnacentral:rRNA from 1 species